GUAGGGAACCCGGGUGAAAGCCUGGGGUGCCCCGCGAGGGGAGCCCUAGCACAGGUGCUGCAUGGCCGUCGUCAGCUCGUGCCGUGAGGUGUUGGGUUAAGUCCCGCAACGAGCGCAACCCCCGCCGUUAGUUGCCAGCGGUUCGGCCGGGCACUCUAACGGGACUGCCCGCGAAAGCGGGAGGAAGGAGGGGACGACGUCUGGUCAGCAUGGCCCUUACGGCCUGGGCGACACACGUGCUACAAUGCCCACUACAAAGCGAGGCCACCCGGCAACGGGGAGCUAAUCGCAAAAAGGUGGGCCCAGUUCGGAUUGGGGUCUGCAACCCGACCCCAUGAAGCCGGAAUCGCUAGUAAUCGCGGAUCAGCCAUGCCGCGGUGAAUACGUUCCCGGGCCUU
rnacentral:rRNA from 1 species